GGUAGGAUGAAUAGUUGGCCACUACUUGGCAAUUAGGGCUUAAAUUAUUUUGCAUGUUCUUGAAAGGUGUAAGAUGCUAGUAAAAAUUGCAGUGCAUAGGUCGAAGUGAGAACAAUAGCUACAGUUACUGUCGCAGGGCCAUCCACGCUAUCACUUUGCAAGCCUUCUUCCGCUUGCUAUUGCCUGUAUUCUGCAGUGCCCCAUUCUCAGUCAACCCGAAAGUGAGCACCUCCUCUUACACUCUUCAGAGAUCCCAAACAUGCAAAGAAACCAUUUUACAGAAGUGGGCAUUCUUCAUUUAUAUGUUUGCAUUCUAAAUUCUAUUUGGGUCAGCCCUUGCUGCUCAAUGCAACUUACACAGAGUUUCAAAACCCCAAUGGAGUUUGCAGCAGCCGAGGAGGGUGAAAGAAUACAAUGGAUUCAAUUUGAUCUUGAUGGAUCUCUACUCUGGUCAAGGAGCUGACUGUUCACUUAAGCAAGCACUUGUUGCGAGAAAAGUUCAAAUUUUAUCAUCAGCACUCGGGUUCUUGUUCCAGUGUUGAGUUUGUCUCCAAUUGCCAAAACUUGCAGUGUUGCUGUGAAUUCAUUAUAUAAUAUGUAGUGAAUUCCAGUUAUAAAGUAAGAGCAUAUGUAGAGAGCGAUAUUUUGUUGUUAGUAGCUUCUGUUGUAGAAAAUGACCGUACCAAGCAGAUGCAACAAAUUUCAUUGAAGCGGCUUAGUAUUGUAAUGAAUAGCCUCCAUAACUUUCCAUAGAAAUAUAUAAUGUUGUGUGCAGUUGCAUCA